AUUGAACGCUGGCGGCAGGCUUAACACAUGCAAGUCGAGCGGCGAUGAGGUGCUUGCACCUUAUCUUAGCGGCGGACGGGUGAGUAAUGCUUAGGAAUCUGCCUAUUAGUGGGGGACAACAUUCCGAAAGGAAUGCUAAUACCGCAUACGUCCUACGGGAGAAAGCAGGGGAUCUUCGGACCUUGCGCUAAUAGAUGAGCCUAAGUCGGAUUAGCUAGUUGGUGGGGUAAAGGCCUACCAAGGCGACGAUCUGUAGCGGGUCUGAGAGGAUGAUCCGCCACACUGGGACUGAGACACGGCCCAGACGCCUACGGGAGGCAGCAGUGGGGAAUAUUGGACAAUGGGGGGAACCCUGAUCCAGCCAUGCCGCGUGUGUGAAGAAGGCCUUAUGGUUGUAAAGCACUUUAAGCGGGGAGGAGGCUACUGAGACUAAUACUCUUGGAUAGUGGACGUUACUCGCAGAAUAAGCACCGGCUAACUCUGUGCCAGCAGCCGCCGUAACAC
rnacentral:rRNA from 1 species